rnacentral:lncRNA from 1 species
GCGGCGUUUUGCCCCCGCCGCCACGGCUUUUUGCCGCUGUCGCCGCCGCUUUUUGCCCCCGCCGCCGCGGCUUUUUGCUGCCGCGACUUUUUGCCCCGGUCGCCGCCGCUUUUUGUCACCGCGACUUUUUGCCCCCGCCACCGAGGAUUUUUGUCCCCGCCGCCACGGCUCUGAGGGCAGGAGCGGCAGACUCGGCUGCCAGCUCUACUGGCGUCCUGGCAAGGGCAGCGCCGAGGGGUGCUCCUGGUCCAGCUCUCCUGGCUCAGGGAUUCUUUGCCUAGGCGCCGGCGCCCCGGGCUCCUUGCCUAGGCCCCUGUGGCCUGCAUAGAGUGGCGCUGCCUGUGGAGGCGGUGGGAGAGAAGAAGGAGGGCGGUGGUGGGGGUGAUGCGGCGGCCACGGAGGGUGGCACAGGGGCUGCGGCCAGCCGGGCGCUGCAGCAGUGCGGGCAGCUCCAGAAGCUCAUCGUCAUCUUCAUUGGCAGCCUGUGCGGGCUGUGCACCAAGUGCGCUGUGUCUAACGACCUCACCCAGCAGGAGAUACAGACCCUGGAGCUAGGUGAUGAUAUUCUGAUCUAUGAGAUGCAAGAAGAUGUGAUGUGUGGGACAUCCAUGAAAACUGAUUAAUGAGACCUGACACAAAUUAGAGAUCAAGCCCACUACGACCACCACCAUUUUUCUCUUCUAUCCUAUUUUUUUGUGACCUCUAGCAUGACCAUGAUGCCAAGAUCUCUAGCAGCCACAUAGUGACCUGAGGUAAAUCUGAGUAUGAAAAUCAUGUGCCAGGAUGGUGUAGAAAGAGGGUUUUGGAUCCUAUUGACAAUGGAAAGUUGGUCUUCCUACCUCUGAACCUCUUUAUGUAAGAGAAGUAACCUGAGUUUUAAAAGCCAUUAUUAUUUCCAUUUUCUCUGCUGAUGCAGACAAACACAAGUCCUAAUUUUAUAGAGACCUAAUACGUUCUGGACCUCAGAAAGAGAUUCCUGGAGGAAAUGUUGUUUUCAACCACUAACUCUGCUAAUUUCAGGCCAAGUGAGGCAUUAUAUAGACAGUCUGACCACUGCCACAGUUGCAUACGUUCUAAAUUUGAAAUAAAUCCCUUACUCUGUAUCACUUAUAGUGGAUCUGCUUCUCUGAUAAAACCCUCACUAAGACAAUUAUCAUCCACUGUUUGUUUUUCCUGUGGUAAGUAUAUCAUUGCUGUAUAAAAAUAACCUUUUAAUUAUUAACUCAGUUGGCCCAGUUUAGCAUCUUUUCCAUCUUCCAUUCUCAAUUUGAUAAUUACCAUCUUUCAUAAUAAUUAUCCUUCAGGUUUCACAAUACAUGUAUGUUGAAUGUUAAGGCUAUUCUUCAUUGAUAUUUACACUUUGACUCCAUGGUGAGAGAAGCUGCAGUAUCUGAGAAAUAAAUAAUUUGUAUGUGGGAGGUGUGAUUUUACAGCUAGAUUAUAGCUCAGUUUCUAGUUCUUUCUUUUAGAGAGAUUUCUCUUGGUCAUCUUUAUAGAGGUAUGAAGAUAUUUAGUUUUACUGUUAUUAUAUUAACAUUUUAAAAAGCAGCUUUCUACAAGGUAUGGCAUCAGGUGGAAUUAUUCUUGCUGUGCUCUCAAAUAAUCUCCAUGCUAAGUUUUUGGGCCUCACUGCAGCCCCUGAACACGUAUGUCUCUCUGUACCUCCUCUGUAUGAUGUAGUGAAUUUUUUGGACCUUUGAAUCACACACAGGCUUUCUUGGCUGUUUUAUACCAAAGGACUUUCACUAAAUUCCUAAGAAAAAUUUAGCACAGCCGAUGCUGUUUUCCAAUGCCAACCUUGGAGUUUGCAAUUUGCCCAGACAAAAAUACCAUAGCUGAUGGUGAUGAUGAUGUCAAUAUUUUUUUAAAAUACAAUUUAAAAAAUGGUUCAACAUAAAUUAUCUCAUUUAGUCCCCUGAACAACCUUGUGAUGUGAUUUUGAACAGGAAUAUCAAGACCUCAGGAUCUGGCAUCAAAUUCUGGGGUUUGAAUAUUAUUUCUAUCACAAACUAUUUAUAUUACUGCUUAUAUGUAAGUGACAACCUUUCUAUUCCUUAUUUUUUCCACUUGUAAAAUCAGAAAAAUGACAAUGAUGAGAGCACCAAACUUAUGAGCUUGCGAAGAUUAAAUGUGUGUAUGGGUUUUUAUCAGUUUGAGAGACAUUAUAUUUCCAUUUGUUGUCAUUCUGUCCCUUCCAUCAGGGUAGGACCUUUCUUCAGUGCAUUACUUUGUCCCCUGAACCUAGAAUGGUACCUGGAAUAUCAUUGGUGCCCAAUAAGUACUUGCUGAAUAAAUGACUGAAUAAAUAAAUGUAAUCUGUCAAUAUUUUCAUCUGAAGAUAUGAUAUCUGUUUUUUACCUUAUUUUUUCAAUCAUCCGAAAGGUAGUAUGCACAUUUGAAAGGUAGUCAUUGUUAUUUUCUUACACCAGUACUUGCACUUUUACAAUAUGUAGCAAUAAUCAUAAGCAAAGUAUCAUGACAGAGUGAGAAUAAACUUAAAUCUGUAAUUGCAAUUUUUCUUCACCGUGGCCUCCAUUGUUUGUCAUGUGUCUUGGCUACGUCAGGAUGGAAAGCAUUGCUUUUUUCUAUUUACAGGACCAGAAUUAAAUCCAUGUUUCUUGGCUGACCAUUUGGUUAGUUUUUGUUUGUUCAUUUGUUUUUUCAUGAAAUGUUCAUGGUGGUUGGGCUGGAAUAGGUAUAGCAUUUUAUUUAUUUAUACUCAGCUGAAACUAAGAGAAAUAUUUCAGACCAAGAAGUGGGGACAAGAGCAAUACUUGUGUAAUAAUACGAUGUACCAUUUUACAUUAUUUGGAAGUGCUGAUGCCUGCAUCUAUAGCAUCAGUCAAGAAAGAGAGGUAAUGAAAGAGAUUUCAAAUGAAUAUCAGAUAGGCUUUAGUAUUACAUAGGAUAAGACAGACAGGAUUGGUCAGGGUAUGCUGGAAAAGAUUUUUUAUCUUAUUUUAUUGGCUUUAUUUAAAUUUUUUUUUUUUUCCCAGCUGGAAAUCUAUUUAUUUAUUUUUCUUCAGUGUUACAAUGAAACAACAUUGCUUUAUUUAAAUUUUAUAAAAAUUCAAACCAUACAGUACUUUAUAAUAAAAUUGACUGCCUUUGGCUACUCUAUCUCUAUUUCCAGUGCAACUGUGGAAGUGGCACUGACAGAUAUGGUUUUAGCUACUUAGAAAUUUUUCUAGACACACACACACACACACACACACACACACACAAUUUAUAUGCAAAAUGCUCAUAUGCAUGUCAUAUUUUUUCUUUAUUCAGCAAGUUAUAGUGGAUAUUCUUUUAUAGCAUACGUAGCAAUGGACUUCUCUUUUUAAAGACUGCCUAGAAUUCUGUAGUUAUAAUACAGUCAUUCAUGUAACUAAUUCUCUAAAAACAAGCCAGAUGAUAUUUACUAAGAACUUACUAUGGGUCAGGCACAGCUCUAAUAGUCUAAUCUCAUCUAAUCUCAAUACGUUCAUGAGUUAGGAAUGGUUGUUAUUCCCAUAUGUUCCCAAUGAGGAAACUGAAGCAGAGAGUUUAAAUAAUGUGCCCUAAUUUACAGAAUUAUUAAACUGGUACUGGAAUUAUGCAAAGAUAAUCAGGCAUCAGAGUUUGUGAUGUCAACUGUUAUGUGAUACUGCAAUAAACGUUGUAUAAACCUCUGUAAA